AUUGAACGCUGGCGGAAUGCUUUACACAUGCAAGUCGAACGGCAGCACGGGUGCUUGCACCUGGUGGCGAGUGGCGAACGGGUGAGUAACAUAUCGGAACGUACCCAGUAAUGGGGGAUAACUAGUCGAAAGAUUAGCUAAUACCGCAUACGCCCUGAGGGGGAAAGCGGGGAUCGUAAGACCUCGCGUUAUUGGAGCGGCCGAUAUCUGAUUAGCUAGUUGGUGGGGUAAAGGCCUACCAAGGCGACGAUCAGUAGCUGGUCUGAGAGGACGACCAGCCACACUGGAACUGAGACACGGUCCAGACUCCUACGGGAGGCAGCAGUGGGGAAUUUUGGACAAUGGGCGCAAGCCUGAUCCAGCCAUUCCGCGUGAGUGAAGAAGGCCUCGGGUUGUAAAGCUCUUUCGCAAGGGAAGAAACGAUACGAGCGAAUAACUCGUGUUAAUGACGGUACCUUGAUAAGAAGCACCGGCUAACUACGUGCCAGCAGCCGCGGUAAUACGUAGGGUGCGAGCGUUAAUCGGAAUUACUGGGCGUAAAGCGUGCGCAGGCGGUUUUGUAAGUCAGAUGUGAAAUCCCCGGCGUCAACCUGGGAACUGCGUUUGAAACUACAAGGCUAGAGUAUAGGAGAGGGGGGUAGAAUUCCACGUGUAGCAGUGAAAUGCGUAGAGAUGUGGAGGAAUACCAAUGGCGAAGGCAGCCCCUGGCCUAAUACUGACGCUCAUGCACGAAAGCGUGGGGAGCAAACAGGAUUAGAUACCCGGUAGU
rnacentral:rRNA from 1 species